rnacentral:rRNA from 1 species
AUUGAACGCUGGCGGCAUGCCUAACACAUGCAAGUCGAACGGGGCAGCAAUGCCUAGUGGCGGACGGGUGAGGAAUACGUAGGAAUCUGCCCUUAAGUGGGGGAUAACCAGGGGAAACCCUGACUAAUACCGCAUGGUCUCCUCGGAGCAAAGAGGGGGACCGCAAGGCCUCUCGCUUCUGGAUGAGCCUACGUCUGAUUAGCUAGUUGGUAGGGUAAAGGCCUACCAAGGCGACGAUCAGUAACUGGUCUGAGAGGAUGAUCAGUCACACCGGAACUGAGACACGGUCCGGACUCCUACGGGAGGCAGCAGUGGGGAAUAUUGGACAAUGGGCGCAAGCCUGAUCCAGCAAUGCCGCGUAUGUGAAGAAGGCCUUCGGGUUGUAAAGCACUUUAGCCUGGAAAGAAAAAACUUUGGUUAACACCCAAAGUCUUGACGGUACCAGGAGAAUAAGCACCGGCUAACUCUGUGCCAGCAGCCGCAGUAAUAC